CAUAUACUCCCUCCGUUCCAUAAUUCUUGUCUCAAAUUUGCCAAAAAAUGGAUGUAUCUAUUCCUAUUCCUAAAAAGCAUCUAGAUACAUGUAAUAUUUCGACAAGAAUUAUGAAACGGAGGGAGUACCUU
rfam:Brachypodium distachyon strain Bd21 chromosome 4, whole genome shotgun sequence.